rnacentral:pre_miRNA from 1 species
CCUAAAAUUCUUAUUUUAGAUUUGUCUAGAUAUGGAUGUACCUAAUACUAAAACGUGACUUGAUACAUCCGUACUUAGACAAAUUUAAGACAAAAAUUUUGGGACGGAGGGAGUAUUAU